rnacentral:rRNA from 1 species
GCGCUAUCAGGUGAGCCUACGUCGGAUUAGCUAGUUGGUAGGGUAAAGGCCUACCAAGGCGACGAUCCGUAGCUGGUCUGAGAGGAUGAUCAGCCACACUGGGACUGAGACACGGCCCAG